rnacentral:rRNA from 1 species
AUUGAACGCUAGCGGGAUGCCUUACACAUGCAAGUCGAACGGAGUGGCGAACGGGUGAGUCAUGUAUCGGAACGUGCCCAGUAGCGGGGGAUAACUACGCGAAAGCGUAGCUAAUAACGCCUACUAUUGGAGCGGCCGAUAUCGGAUUAGCUAGUUGGUGGGGUAACGGCUCACAAAGGCGACGAUCCGUAGCUGGGUUGAGAGGACGACCAGCCACACGGGAACGGAGACACGGCCCAGACUCCUACGGGAGGCAGCAGUGGGGAAUGUUGGACAAUGGGGGAAACCCUGAUCCAGCCAUGCCGCGUGUGCGAUGAAGGCCUUCGGGUUGUAAAGCACUUUUGGCAGGAAAGCGGUACCUGCAGAAUAAGCACCGGCUAACUACGUGCCAGCAGCCGCGGUAAUUC